rnacentral:rRNA from 1 species
UACGUAGGCAGCAAGCGUUGUUCGGAAUUACUGGGCGUAAAGAGUGUGUAGGCGGUGCUCUAAGUUUGGUGUGAAAUCUCCCGGCUCAACUGGGAGGGUGCGCCGAAAACUGGAAUGCUUGAACAUGGGAGAGGAAAGCGGAAUUCCUGGUGUAGCGGUGAAAUGCGCAGAUAUCAGGAGGAACACCAAUGGCGAAGGCAGCUCGCUGGGACGGUACUGACACUGAGACGCGAAAGCGUGGGGAGCAAACAGG